CCUACGGGAGGCAGCAGUGGGGAAUAUUGGACAAUGGGCGAAAGCCUGAUCCAGCAAUGCCGCGUGAGUGAUGAAGGCCUUAGGGUUGUAAAGCUCUUUUACCAGGGAUGAUAAUGACAGUACCUGGAGAAUAAGCUCCGGCUAACUCCGUGCCAGCAGCCGCGGUAAUACGGAGGGAGCUAGCGUUGUUCGGAAUUACUGGGCGUAAAGCGUGCGUAGGCGGUGACUCAAGUCAGAGGUGAAAGCCUGGAGCUCAACUCCAGAACUGCCUUUGAAACUAGGUCGCUAGAAUCAUGGAGAGGUGAGUGGAAUUCCGAGUGUAGAGGUGAAAUUCGUAGAUAUUCGGAAGAACACCAGUGGCGAAGGCGGCUCACUGGACAUGUAUUGACGCUGAGGCACGAAAGCGUGGGGAGCAAACAGGAUUAGAUACCCUGGUAGUCCACGCCGUAAACGAUGAUAACUAGCUGCCNGGCGUCAUGAGCGUUGGUGGCGCGAGCGUACGCGAGUAAGUUAGUCCGCCGUGGGAGGUAACGGUCGUCGAGAAGUUAAACGUUAAAGUUAGUAAGUUAGACGGCGUGAGACGUUGCGACGGACGACGACGAGGGAGGAGG
rnacentral:rRNA from 1 species